rnacentral:rRNA from 1 species
AUUGAACGCUGGCGGCAGGCCUAACACAUGCAAGUCGAGCGGAGCGGCGGACGGGGGAGUAAUGCCUAGGAAUCUGCCCGGUAGUGGGGGAUAACGUCCGGAAACGGGCGCUAAUACCGCAUACUUUCAGUUGAGCCUAGGUCGUAUUAGCGAGUUGGUGGGGUAAAGGCUUAACAAGGCGACGAUCCGUAACUGGUCUGAGAGGAUGAUCAGUCAAACUGGAACUGAGAGACGGUCCACACUCCUACAGUAGUCAGCAGUGGGGAAUAUUGGGCAAUGGGCGAAAGCCUGAUCCAUCCAUGCCGCGUGUGUGAAGAAGGUCUGCGGAUUGUAAAGCUGUAUAAGUUUGUAGGCGUUACCAACAGAAUAAGCACCGGCUAACUUCGUGCCAGCAGCCGCGGUAAUAC